rnacentral:misc_RNA from 1 species
GAUGAAGAACGUAGCGAAAUGCGAUAAGUAAUGUGAAUUGCAGAAUUCAGUGAAUCAUCGAAUCUUUGAACGCACAUUGCGCCCGCUGGUAUUCCGGCGGGCAUGCCUGUUCGAGCGUCAUUUCAACCCUCAAGCUCUCCGGAGUUUGGUGUUGGGGCGCCUGGGGCUUUUCGACCUCAGGGCCCUCAAGUCCAUCGGCGGGACCGCCAGGACACUGAGCGCAGUAGUAUUGUUUCGCUCGGUAGGAUCUUCCACGGCGGGUCGAUCUGGCCGCUAAACCCCCCAAUUCUCACCAAAGGUUGACCUCGGAUCAGGUAGGAAUACCCGCUGAACUUAAGCAUAUCAAUAAGCGGAGGA